rnacentral:rRNA from 1 species
AUUGAACGCUGGCGGCAUGCUUUACACAUGCAAGUCGAGCGGCAGCGCGGGCUUUGCCCUUGCGGCGAGUGGCGAACGGGUGAGUAAUACAUCGGAACGUGCCCAGUAGUGGGGGAUAGCUCGGCGAAAGCCGGACUAAUACCGCAUACGACCUGAGGGUGAAAGCGGGGGAUCUUCGGACCUCACGCUAUCAGAUCGGCCGAUGGCGGAUUAGCUAGUUGGUGGGGUAAAGGCCUACCAAGGCGACGAUCUGUAACUGGUCUGAGAGGACGACCAGCCACACUGGGACUGAGACACGGCCCAGACUCCUACGGGAGGCAGCAGUGGGGAAUUUUGGACAAUGGGCGAAAGCCUGAUCCAGCAAUGCCGCGUGUGUGAUGAAGGCCUUCGGGUUGUAAAGCACUUUUGGCGGGAACGAAAAGGACUGUGCCAAUACCACGGUUCGAUGACGGUACCCGCAGAAUAAGCACCGGCUAACUACGUG